rnacentral:tRNA from 1 species
GGAGAGGUGCCGGAGCGGCUGAACGGGGCGGUCUCGAAAACCGUUGUGGGAGCGAUCCCACCCAGGGUUCAAAUCCCUGUCUCUCCG